AGGUGGUCAGGUAGAGAAUACCAAGGCGCUUGAGAGAACUCUGGUGAAGGAACUAGGCAAAAUAGCACCGUAACUUCGGGAGAAGGUGCGCUGCUGACGGUGAAGGCCUUGCGCCGUAAGCUGUUGGCAGCCGAAGUAACCAGGCCGCUGCGACUGUUUAUUAAAAACACAGCACUCUGCAAACACGAAAGUGGACGUAUAGGGUGUGACGCCUGCCCGGUGCCGGAAGGUUAAUUGAUGGGGUCAGCCGCAAGGCGAAGCUCUUGAUCGAAGCCCCGGUAAACGGCGGCCGUAACUAUAACGGUCCUAAGGUAGCGAAAUUCCUUGUCGGGUAAGUUCCGACCUGCACGAAUGGCGUAACGAUGGCGGCGCUGUCUCCACCAGAGACUCAGUGAAAUCGAAAUCGCGGUGAAGAUGCCGUGUACCCGUGGCUAGACGGAAAGACCCCGUGAACCUUUACUGUAGCUUCACACUGGACUUCGACAUGAUCUGUGUAGGAUAGCUGGGAGGCUUUGAAGUGGUGACGCCAGUUGCCAUGGAGCCGUCCUUGAAAUACCAGCCUGGUCCUGUCGGGGUUCUAACGUCGACCUGUUAUCCAGGUUACGGACAGUGUGUGGUGGGCAGUUUGACUGGGGCGGUCUCCUCCCAAAGAGUAACGGAGGAGCACGAAGGUGCGCUAAUCACGGUCGGAAAUCGUGAGGUUAGUGUAAAGGCACAAGCGCGCUUGACUGCGAGACAGACAAGUCGAGCAGGUACGAAAGUAGGUCUUAGUGAUCCGGUGGUUCUGUAUGGAAGGGCCAUCGCUCAACGGAUAAAAGGUACUCCGGGGAUAACAGGCUGAUACCGCCCAAGAGUUCAUAUCGACGGCGGUGUUUGGCACCUCGAUGUCGGCUCAUCACAUCCUGGGGCUGAAGCCGGUCCCAAGGGUAUGGCUGUUCGCCAUUUAAAGUGGUACGCGAGCUGGGUUUAGAACGUCGUGAGACAGUUCGGUCCCUAUCUGCCAUGGGCGUUGGAGAUUUGAGAAGAGUUGCUCCUAGUACGAGAGGACCGGAGUGAACGAACCUUUGGUGUACCGGUUGUCACGCCAGUGGCAUUGCCGGGUAGCUAAGUUCGGACGGGAUAACCGCUGAAAGCAUCUAAGCGGGAAGCCUCCUUCAAGAUGAGAUCUCCCUGGAGCUUCAAGCUCCCUAAAGGGCCGUCGAAGACUACGACGUUGAUAGGCGAGGUGUGGAAGCGUUGUGAGACGUUGAGCUGACUCGUACUAAUUGCCCGUGCGGCUUGAC
rnacentral:rRNA from 1 species